ensembl:lncRNA
AUUACGCUACCCUAGAAUAAUAAGGUUCUAUCUGACAUUUUUGUCAAAAUUGAGUUAUUUACAUAUUCCUAUUCUGGCAUAAUUUGUGAACAUUAUUUAAGGUGUUUUUCAAAAAAAUAAAUACAUUUUGGGUGUUUUAUUCUGAAAACAAAAAGGUUCUAUCUACAAAGAAAAGAAAGAGAUCACCUGCAGGAGGGACUGGAUCUUGUAAAAAGGCUUGUGACAUUGAGCCAGAUGCUGGACCAGCUAAAGAUUGAGUGAGGGCAAAAUUUGCAACCCCGGACCAUGGAUGUACAUCUGAAGAGCUGGGGACUGUGGAGGACCACAGUGUAAAGUAUAGUGUAGGAGUAUUACCGUGCUAUGAUUAAAUGAUUUUCCUUUUUAGGUGUGGAUGAAUAAGUGAAUAGUAUGUGAUGUAAGUAUGGGAUGUAUGUGAAUAGUAAUUGAUACUAUAUCUAUUUUUAUUGCAUGAAAUUAUUUACAAAUGAGCUCCUUUUGAGGUGUUGAUGAAUAGGUGAAUAGUAUGUGAUGUUUGUAUGUGAUGCAUAUGAAUUGUAAGUGAUAUUGUUAUUGCAUGAAAAUGGUUUUCAAAUGAGCUCCUUUUUACAGUAAGUAACCUGGGUUUGAAAUACAGUGUUCAUAAGCAAAACAUCUGAAUGAGUACUCGUGUUCUUCUGGCAGUAUUGACAUACUGUAUGUGUAUUGUUGUAUGACGUGUUUUACAUUUAAAUUGUUUAAAAAAUAUUUGAUAAACUAUCAAUAAAGACUGAUUGUAAAUAUUCAUAUCAGACAAUGCAUUUUUUUUAAUUAUUCAUUUACAUGCAACUUACUGUUAUCUUGAAUAAGAAAGAUGAAAGGAAAAAUUGCGCAUUGGAAACAUUUUGUGUUAUAGCAUGAAUGCAUGAAGAUUUAACAUAUAAAAUACACUUUUAAUUAUAUAAAUUGAACAUUCAAACAGUAUGUAUAAGUAAAUUGUUAAUAUUCUUUUAUAAUCAUUGUUCCUCUUUAUGUUUUUGAAGAUAGAACCUUAUAAUUCCAAGGCGGCUGUUUGUUUUUAGAGCUAUAAGGUUCUAUCUACAAUUGACCUGUUUCAAAAUCCCUAAUUUACAAUUCAUCUAGAAUUUUGAUAUCUCAGAUGUAGAAUACAUAUAUGGUUUGUGUAACUUUGGUGCUAUAAAGAAAUGUGCUCCAUUUGUCAGUUUUGCUAUUUGCAAUGCUAAAACUUUAAACCUCAAUAUCUCAAAACUGACCUGAACGCAGAUAGAACCUUAUUAUUCUGAGGUAGCGAUUAGUU